rnacentral:rRNA from 1 species
AUUGAACGCUGGCGGCAGGCUUAACACAUGCAAGUCGAGCGGAGAUGAGGUGCUUGCACCUUAUCUUAGCGGCGGACGGGUGAGUAAUGCUUAGGAAUCUGCCUAUUUGUGGGGGACAACAUUCCGAAAGGAAUGCUAAUACCGCAUACGUCCUACGGGAGAAAGCAGGGGAUCUUCGGACCUUGCGCUAAUAGAUGAGCCUAAGUCGGAUUAGCUAGUUGGUGGGGUAAAGGCCUACCAAGGCGACGAUCUGUAGCGGGUCUGAGAGGGUGAUCCGUCACACUGGGACUGAGACACGGCCCAGACUCCUACGGGAGGCAGCAGUGGGGAAUAUUGGACAAUGGGGGGAACCCUGAUCCAGCCAUGCCGCGUGUGUGAAGAAGGCCUUAUGGUUGUAAAGCACUUUAAGCGAGGAGGAGGCUACUGAGACUAAUACUCUUGGAUAGUGGACGUUACUCGCAGAAUAAGCACCGGCUAACUCUGUGCCAGCCGCCGCGGUAAGAC